GUGAAAGGCGGCGUGCCUAAUACAUGCAGUUCGAACGCUUUGUGGUUCAACUGAUUUGAAGAAGCUUGCUCAGAUAUGACGAUGGACAUUGCAAAGAGUGGCGAACGGGUGAGUAACACGUGGGAAACCUACCUCUUAGCAGGGGAUAACAUUUGGAAACAGAUGCUAAUACCGUAUAACAAUGACAACCGCAUGGUUGUUAUUUAAAAGAUGGUUCUGCUAUCACUAAGAGAUGGUCCCGCGGUGCAUUAGCUAGUUGGUAAGGUAAUGGCUUACCAAGGCGAUGAUGCAUAGCCGAGUUGAGAGACUGAUCGGCCACAAUGGGACUGAGACACGGCCCAUACUCCUACGGGAGGCAGCAGUAGGGAAUCUUCCACAAUGGGCGAAAGCCUGAUGGAGCAACGCCGCGUGUGUGAUGAAGGGUUUCGGCUCGUAAAACACUGUUGUAAGAGAAGAAUGACAUUGAGAGUAACUGUUCAAUGUGUGACGGUAUCUUACCAGAAAGGAACGGCUAAAUACGUGCCAGCAGCCGCGGUAAUACGUAUGUUCCAAGCGUUAUCCGGAUUUAUUGGGCGUAAAGCGAGCGCAGACGGUUAUUUAAGUCUGAAGUGAAAGCCCUCAGCUCAACUGAGGAAUUGCUUUGGAAACUGGAUGACUUGAGUGCAGUAGAGGAAAGUGGAACUCCAUGUGUAGCGGUGAAAUGCGUAGAUAUAUGGAAGAACACCAGUGGCGAAGGCGGCUUUCUGGACUGUAACUGACGUUGAGGCUCGAAAGUGUGGGUAGCAAACAGGAUUAGAUACCCUGGUAGUCCACACCGUAAACGAUGAGUGCUAGGUGUUUUGAGGGUUUCCGCCCUUAAGUGCCGCAGCUAACGCAUUAAGCACUCCGCCUGGGGAGUACGACCGCAAGGUUGAAACUCAAAGGAAUUGACGGGGACCCGCACAAGCGGUGGAGCAUGUGGUUUAAUUCGAAGCAACGCGAAGAACCUUACCAGGUCUUGACAUCCCUUGACAACUCCCGAGAUGGAGCGUUCCCUUCGGGGACAAGGUGACAGGUGGGUGCAUGGUUGUCGUCAGCUCGUGUCGUGAGAUGUUGGGUUAAGUCCCGCAACGAGCGCAACCCUUAUUACUAGUUGCCAGCAUUCAGUUGGGCACUCUAGUGAGACUGCCGGUGACAACCGGAGGAAAGGUGGGGAUGACGUCAAAUCAUCAUGCCCCUUAUGACCUGGGCUACACACGUGCUACAAUGGCGUAUACAACGAGUUGCCAACCCGCGAGGGUGAGCUAAUCUCUUAAAGUACGUCUCAUUUCGGAUUGUGAGGCUGCACUCGCCCAACUGAAAUCCGAAUCCCUUGUAAUCCGGAUAACACAGCCCCGGUGAAUAACUUCCCGGGUCUUGUGACACCCGCCGCUCACCCUGGGAAUUUGUACCCCCCAAACCGGUGGGGUAACCUUCGGGAAA
rnacentral:rRNA from 1 species